rnacentral:lncRNA from 1 species
AGAAGCACUGGAUGAGAGGCAACCCAUUAAUUUUUAAUUAAUUUUUGUUUUGCAGAAUUUAUCUUAUUUCUAUUCAAGACCAUCCCAAAAGGAAGUAGCUACUCAAGCAUAAUUUUUCCAAGAAGAUCUCAUUUGUCUUUAAUAAACAAGUUGGUAGUUGUUUAUGUUUUUUUAGAUUGCAAGUUUAGCACUUUAGCAUUGAACAAAUGGUCCAAAAUAGACUUGAUUAUUACAAUAUAAACUAGCAACUUGAAGGCGAAGGAUGAG